rnacentral:misc_RNA from 1 species
GCAGCGUUCUACAAAGACCCCUCGCUCAGUCCACCGUAGCUCGCUCCGCUCAGCAGUGGGGCCAGACAUGGCCGCUGCUCCCUCUCCCGCCCCCCUCUCUCUCCUCACCUUCUCCGCCGGCGUCCGGCCGCACCCACUCCCGUCUCUCACCGCCGGCCGGGUCAUCUCCUUCCGCCGUUUGUCGGUCCGCUGCUCCUCCGACGACAACGGCCGCCCCUCCGCCGACAACUCCAGUUUCUGCAUCAUCGAAGGCCCGGAGACGGUGCAGGACUUCGUCCAGCUCCAGAUGCAGGAGAUCCAGGACAACAUCAGGAGCCGACGGAACAAGAUCUUUCUCUUGAUGGAGGAGGUUAGGAGGCUGCGGGUGCAGCAGCGGAUAAAGAGCUCCGAGUUCGCGAACGGGAGCGAGGAGAAUGAGAUGCCGGACAUUCCGUCGACGAUUCCGUUUCUUCCUCAUAUGACUCCAAACACUUUGAGGAAGCUGUAUUUGACUUCGUUCAGUAUGGCGGCUGGAAUCAUCAUCUUUGGCGGCCUUAUUGCCCCUGUGCUAGAACUAAAACUAGGCUUGGGUGGAACUUCCUAUGAAGAUUUUAUACGCAAUAUGCAUCUGCCUCUGCAGUUGAGUCAGGUUGAUCCCAUAGUCGCAUCCUUCUCUGGUGGGGCAGUGGGGGUGAUCUCAGCCUUGAUGUUGGUAGAGGCCAACAAUGUUGAACGACAAGAAAAGAAGAGGUGCAAAUAUUGCCAUGGGAAUGGAUACCUGGCAUGUGCUCGAUGCUCUGCUAGUGGGGUACUUGUUAGUGCAAAACCUGUUUCCAUCACUGGCUGUUGCGAUGCUCCUCUGCAAGCUCCUACAACUCAAAGGUGUCCAAACUGCUCAGGGGCUGGAAAGGUAAUGUGCCCGACAUGCCUAUGCACUGGAAUGGUGAUGGCGAGCGAACAUGAUCCCCGUAUUGAUCCAUUUGACUGAUGUAAAAUGUCAGAUCUCA